AUAAGAAUAAAGUGAAAAGAACAUAAUCAUGUACUAAUGAACAUUCGAUAAAAGGUAAAUUAGUACGUACGUAGUAGUUAGAAUUACGCAUUAAUUAAUGCAAAAAUGCAUGUCGUACGUCCUUAAUAAUUUCCAGGAAAAAUCCUACGUACAACGCGCAACCUAAGUUACCUGCAGCUGACUCUGUCGUACAAAGAUAGAUCAUACACCUAAUCUUAAUUUUCUGUAUAAAUAUUAAGACAUUAAUGUACAAUUAACCAUAAUCUCUAGCUUUUAAAAAGUAUAAUCUCUUAAUUAGUUUAUAUAAUGGAAACAUUAAACUCGAACCGGAUUAUAAACCUCCAUAGAUUCCGAGCUUCCGAGACUCGGUCGUCUUGCCGUUCUACUUACCGGAGAAGCGCCGCCGCCGUCGUCGUCGAUGUAUUAGCAUUCAAGAACAAGAGAAGUGCAGGGGUUUUGAGUUCUUCAUUAGCUUGGAGCAAUAUUUAUAAAACCAGGAAAAAUUACAUAGACUCCAAAUGAAUUUGAUGAUGCAGUGGGGCAGUUUUUGAAGUUCAAGGCAAUAAUAAAAGUGUUCAAGCUUCGGCUGCUAAUACUGGUCCCUCUGGCAAGCCUUGGUGUAAUUGGCUGGUUGGAGUAAUUUUGUCAAUAGUUUUACCCUUUGCGUCUAGAAAAUGGAGUCGGAUAUUGGCUAUUAAAAAUGAAAUAGACACGGUGGUGGAGACAGUUGAAACAGUUGUAGAGACAGUUGAAACGGUGGCGAAAGAGGUGGCCCAUGUGGCGGAGGAAAUGGCCCAUCAACUUCCAGAAGGUGGGAAAUUGCAGAAUAUAGUUUGUAGUGUAGCAAAUGUGGCGGAAGAGACCGCAAAAGAUGCACACUUAAUAGAUCAACUCAUCGAAAAGGUUAGCAUAAUUCUGCUCCACUUUCUUAUUUUUUCUGAUAUGAUGUGAUCUGGUUAAGUCUGGAAUAAAUAGAAAAAAUUGAACUAAAUAGAGUAAUUUCAAUAUAAUUUAUAGGCAAGUUUUAUAAACUAAGGGCUCGUUCAUUAUUAAUAUGAGUUUCAAGUUUUUGGUUUUGAAAGUCAUGUGAUUGAGAUUGAAUCAUGAUUUAUGAACUGAAUAAUAGUUACUUUUUUCUAGUUUUUAUAUUUUGAUUUUUAGUUUUAUAAAAAAAACAGAAAACUGGCAUGGAAACAAAAACGAUAUCGAAAGUACCCUUUAGUAAUAUCCUGAAAAGGAGAAAAGUCAAAGGAAAAGCGUUUUGUUUCGUUUUACGAUCAUGCACUAUAAUAUAUUGUACCAUUAACGACGGGAAAUUCCGUCGCUAAAAGCCAAUAAUCGUUGGUUAAUGACGGGAUUUCUUGUCUUGAGCCCGUCAAAAAAGGAGGCCGUCAUUAACGGAAAAUCUCAUCGUUAACCCGUUGUAAAAAACAUUUGUGACGAUUGUUCCCGUUUUUGUUUGGUUGUUAGCCCCGUCGCAAAAUAUUUUUACGACGUGAUUUUUAACCCGUCGUUAUUAGGUUGUCAUUAAAAAUACAUAUAUUCUUGUAGUGAUGAAUUAGAUAUUAUAUAUAGUUGUAAUACUGUUAAUUUUGAAUAAUGAUAACCAAAAAGUGAAAACAUAUUUAUUAGUACAGUAGUACGACUAAUAUUAAUUAAGUUCAAGACUUUCAAUUUAAUAUUAAAUCCAUCAUAAACUUAUAAUCAGAAACAUUAUUUGUUUAAUCAAUUUUGUUGUCGUCUUUUUAUGACCAUAUACAGGUAGAAGUAGACCUGUCAAAAAUCGACCCGACCCGAAAACCGAUCCGAACCCGACCCGAAAAUACUGGGUCCUGAACAAGAUUUUGCGACCCGUAACCCGAUUUUAUCCGAACCCGAGCAACCCGAAAAGUAAUGGGUCAAAACCCGACUGAACCCGUUUUGGACCCGACCGAUUGAAAAUCAUUGUAUUUAUAGUAAUAAAUGCGAUUAUGAGAAAAUUUAAGCAUAAUAAACACGCUGUUUUUUACUAUUAUUGUGUGUAAUAUGAUUUUAAUUUGAAUUAUACGCCAUUUUACGGUUGAAUUUGACUAAAUAUAAACUUAUGUAGGAAAAUUUGUUAA